rnacentral:rRNA from 1 species
AUGAACGCUGGCGGCGUGCUUAACACAUGCAAGUCGAACGAAGCACCUCUCCCGAAGAUUGACACAGCUUGCUGUAGAUUGAUUCAUUUGAGGUGACUGAGUGGCGGACGGGUGAGUAACGCGUGGGUAACCUGCCUCAUAGAGGGGGACAACAGUUGGAAACGACUGCUAAUACCGCAUAGUAAGAAGAAUUCGCAUGUUUUCUUCUUGAAAGAUUUAUCGCUGUGAGAUGGACCCGCGUCUGAUUAGCUAGUUGGUAAGGUAACGGCUUACCAAGGCGACGAUCAGUAGCCGGCUUGAGAGAGUGAACGGCCACAUUGGGACUGAGACACGGCCCAAACUCCUACGGGAGGCAGCAGUGGGGAAUAUUGCACAAUGGGGGAAACCCUGAUGCAGCGACGCCGCGUGAGUGAAGAAGUAUUUCGGUAUGUAAAGCUCUAUCAGCAGGGAAGAUAAUGACGGUACCUGACUAAGAAGCCCCGGCUAACUACGUG